ACGAGUGGUCAGGCGACCGCUGAGGGCGAAAGUCCUUGGAGGAAAGUCCGAACACCAUAGGGUACGGUGGCGGCUAACGGCCGCCCGGCUGAGAGUCGAUGUGUCGUUGCCGACGUCAACGGCCCAGCUUUUAGCCGCGGGAAAGUGCCACAGAAAACAAACCGCCUCGUCCUCCAUGAAAGCCGUCGGGCCUGAGGGGGAGGUAAGGGUGAAAAGGUGCGGUAAGAGCGCACCGCGGCACUGGUGACAGUGCUGGCACGGUAAACCCCACCGGGUGCAAGGCCAAAUAAGAAGCCGACGGGCUGACCCGGCCCAUGUCUCUGUCUUCGCCUACGCCCCCGUCAAAGACGGGCGAAGCAGAGAACAGUGCUGGCGGGAACUUCGGAGCGCCCAAAAGGCGUGAGAAGCCGCCGGGACGCGAGGCUUCGGGUAGGCUGCUGGAGCCGGUCAGCAAUGUCCGGCCAAGAUAAAUGGUCGCCGCCGCGCAAGCGGAACAGAAUUCGGCUUAUCGACCACUCACAUGA
rnacentral:RNase_P_RNA from 1 species